AUUGAACGCUGGCGGCAGGCCUAACACAUGCAAGUCGAGCGGAGCUGCGGACGGGCGAGUAAUGCCUACGAAUCUGCCUUGUCUUUGGGGAUAACGUCCGGUAACGGGCCCUAAUCCCGCAUACUUCUUGCUGAGCCUAGGUGGGAUUAGCUAGUUGGUGGGGUAAAGGCCUACCAAGGCGACGAUCCGUACCUGGUCUGAGAGGAUGAUCAGGCACACUGGAACGGAGACACGGUCCAGACUCCUACGGGAGGCAGCAGUGGGGAAUAUUGGACAAUGGGCGAAAGCCUGAUCCAGCCAUGCCGCGUGUGUGAAGAAGGUCUUCGGAUUGUAAAGCACGGUAAGUUGGGAGGCGUUACCUACAGAAUAAGCACCGGCUAACUACGUGCCAGCAGCCGCGGUAAUUC
rnacentral:rRNA from 1 species